rnacentral:lncRNA from 1 species
GUCCUUUUUCUACAGGCUUCUAAUGUGAGGAAAAACACGGAAUGACAAGUGUGGGAAAGAGCAAGCACUAAAUUACUGUCAGAAAAAUAAACGGAGUAGCACAGUGGUGCUCAGUGAUUUACGGGGGCAAUUAGUCACCACCCCACGGCGCUGCUGAGGACAGCACGGCAGCAGACGCGUCAGGCCUGCGAGGAAGAAGAGGCUUUGCACUGCUCUCCAGACAACUUUUCAAACAAGAGAGGAUAUUUGAGUACAUUAGGUUCCAUGUCUUCAUUCUGGGUGCCCACCCUUCACAUUAUCCAGCCAACCUAAUACAUAAACGUAUUUUUAACACAAUAUUAACCUGUUCUGUGUGUGUUAAAAAGACUCCCAACUGCAGCUUUUUUCUCUCCUACGGUCUAAAGUAGGUUUUCCCCAUUCCUUAAAUGAAACAAACAAAUAAAAAAACCUUUCCCUGCUCCCAAAUUGUCCUCCUGAUGUGUGCCUUCAGUCUGUCUCAUUUCUUCUUGCAUCUUGCUAUCAUGUUCUAUAUUUGCUUUGAGCCACUGGGUGCUAAGGAAUUUGGUCUCUAGCUCUUCUGGGGAAGUUUUAGUGAGCUGGCACAAAGAGGUGGUGAAUGAGGCUGCAAAACUCAGGGUAAAUGAGAAAGAUAUAUAAACUUCCUGAUAUUUGUUACCAUGUUCUUUAACAUACUAUAUUUGGU